AUUGAAUUUGCGAACUGAAUUUUUCGAGGCCUUGACAACAGUACGAUCACCCAGGACCGAUAAUGAAAGAGCAAGUGAUGAGCCACUAUUUGGUCUGCAGCUGCAAAAAGUGGAGGAAAGACUUUGAUCAUGAUCAAGGUCCUACUUACAAGGGCUUCCACAGAACAUCAUCCUACAUCCUCAACAAGUCCAUCAUGGUUCGCCAGCUUCGGAUCACUGCAUAUGCUUUGUCUUCAGGAUCUAUUAAUGUGUCUGUGGUUGAAGUUUCUUUCUAUCAGAUGUUAUACAUGGAAAGGAACACUUUCAUUAUUCUGAAGCAGGUAAUGUCUAUGUCCAUGAAAAUAUCAUAUGAGCACUUACAACACUGAGGACACGACUAUAAAACAAAGCAAGAAUGUACUGGGUUUAGCUAGCUAAUAGAAGCCACGAUUGCCUACCUGUGCAGCAUAAAGUAACAUUCAGAAGUUCUAAAAAAAUACAAGUGCUUCUUUUGCUGUUUUGAAGGUAGGAAACAGAUUUCCUUAGUGUUUAUGUGGCUCUGCUGAUUCAACAGUAUAGGUUAAUAAAUGCUUAUUAAAGACUUGGAUUGAAUUUUUUUCAUCAUAUGCUUUCGGUAAGAAGCAUUA